AACCCUGGCGGCUGGUCUGAGAGGAUGAUCAGCCACACUGGGACUGAGACACGGCCCAGACUCCUACGGGAGGCAGCAGUGGGGAAUAUUGGACAAUGGGCGCAAGCCUGAUCCAGCAAUGCCGCGUGGGUGAAGAAGGUCUUCGGAUUGUAAAGCCCUUUCGGCGGGGACGAUGAUGACGGUACCCGCAGAAGAAGCCCCGGCUAACUUCGUGCCAGCAGCCGCGGUAAUACGAAGGGGGCUAGCGUUGCUCGGAAUGACUGGGCGUAAAGGGCGCGUAGGCGGUUUAUUUAGUUAGGCGUGAAAUUCCUGGGCUCAACCUGGGGACUGCGCUUAAUACAGGUAGACUUAGUUCGGAAGAAGGUCGUGGAAUUCCCAGUGUAGAGGUGAAAUUCGUA
rnacentral:rRNA from 1 species